GGGUCGAUGCCCGAGCGGUUAAU
rnacentral:siRNA from 1 species